rnacentral:rRNA from 1 species
AUGCGCCGGCUGUCACCAGUUGGAUUCUGCCUCCGCAAGCAGCUCAAGCAGAGGAUCGUAGGGCUGGCGGCGAUUGAGCAUGCGCGCAAGCGCAAUGCGUCCAGGGUUUCCUGGCUCCGCACUAGUGACUCCAAGACCGCUUUCUUCCAGGCGAAGAUCAACUCCCGAAGACGCAGAAAUCACAUUCACUCUCUGCAUUCAGAAAACGGGAUGGCCACAACACACGAGGACAAAGUUGUCAUUGCCCACACCCACUUCCUCCAGCUGCUCAGCACAAGGCAAGCUCGCUCUUAGUCGAUCAACUGGGAUUCCAUUCAGCUACCAUCGGUUCAAAACGCUAGGCUCAACAAC